GUGUCAGCAGCCGCGGUAAUACGUAGGGUGCAAGCGUUAAUCGGAAUUACUGGGCGUAAAGCGUGCGCAGGCGGUUAUGUAAGACAGUUGUGAAAUCCCCGGGCUCAACCUGGGAAUUGCAUCUGUGACUGCAUAGCUAGAGUACGGUAGAGGGGGAUGGAAUUCCGCGUGUAGCAGUGAAAUGCGUAGAUAUGCGGAGGAACACCGAUGGCGAAGGCAAUCCCCUGGACCUGUACUGACGCUCAUGCACGAAAGCGUGGGGAGCAAACAGGAUUAGAUACCCUGGUAGUCCACGCCCUAAACGAUGUCAACUGGUUGUUGGGUCUUCACUGACUCAGUAACGAAGCUAACGCGUGAAGUUGACCGCCUGGGGAGUACGGCCGCAAGGUUGAAACUCAAAUGAAUUGACGGGG
rnacentral:rRNA from 1 species